AAUAUUGUGCCUGAACUGUAAGGGCUGUUUUGAUGAAACAGCAAUGGUGAAACCCUUUAUUU
rnacentral:tRNA from 1 species